rnacentral:rRNA from 1 species
AUUGAACGCUAGCGGGAGGCUUUACACAUGCAAGUCGAACGGAGCGGCGGACGGGUGAGUAAUAUAUGGGAAACUGCCCAAUGGCGGGGGAUAACUACUCGAAAGAGUGGCUAAUACCGCAUACCAUUAGAGGUGCACAUAUGGGAUUAGCUAGUUGGUGGGGUAAAGGCUCACCAAGGCCACGAUCCUUAACUGGUUUGAGAGGACGACCAGCCACACUGGAACUGAGACACGGCCCAGACUCCUACGGGAGGCAGCAGUGGGGAAUUUUGGACAAUGGGGGAAAGCCUGAUCCAGCCAUCCCGCGUGUAUGAUGAAGGCCUUCGGGUUGUAAAGUACUUUUGGCGAUGAGGCGUUAUUUGCAGAAGAAGCACCGGCUAACUACGUGCCAGCAGCCGCGGUAAUAC